ACACGGAAUACUAAAACUUACACUGAAACCAACACGUUAUAAAGGAAUAAAAGAUUGAAAUUGCUUACCUAACUACACUUUGAACGAGCCGGCUGAAGCUGAUACGACCAUCUCUUAGGAAGGACCUCUUUCUCAAGGGCGAUCUGACAUAGGAAGACUAGAGACAAAGGUUCAAAAUUCGAAGUAACAAAUUUUCUGUAUUAAAAUUCCCGUGCUGCACCGCCAGUCAAUCAACUCUAAGACGUUUCGACUCGUAUGAAGACUACCUUUUGGCCAACUAAUUGUGGAAGAAGACACUAACAAAAAUACACUU